CCUGCCAUUUUCGUUUUAGGACAUCAGUCAAACAUUGACCCAUGGACCUUGGACUGAAGGCCACUUGGCAAGAGGUCAUUGGAGAGUUUUAGUGGACUGUCCACCUACUAAAUUAGCCCUCAAAGUGGGCACCAUAUUUAGAUUGAGAGUGCGCCCCAUGUGGAUAAGGAUAGAGUCCCAUGAGAUGAGGACUCUGAUCC
rnacentral:lncRNA from 1 species